GGCGGCAUAGCUCAGUUGGGAGAGCGCACGACUGAAGUAAUCGUGCGGUCCCUGGUUCGAUCCCGGGUGGCGCCA
rnacentral:tRNA from 1 species